ensembl:lncRNA
GUCUGGUUGGAGUCGAGGCCCAAGACGCGGCCAGCCGCGGAGACGCCCACCGGGUAGGGGGCCGCCCCAUCCGCACGGGAGUGAGGUCGGCCGUGCUGAGCGAGAGUCCAGACAGCACCGAGCCUCGGUUCUCCUCAGCGGGACCAUGACUCUGUUCUAGAAUUUCCUUCUUGCAGCGGCCAGAACACCUCCGAACCCUCGGAUCUCCAGCAGAAUCUCCAGGUUAGCAAAUGCUUGAGGUCCCCUAGACCCGUGUAUGACAACCUUUGGCAGAAUUUAACAUUUCUUUUUCCAUGGUCUUCUUCUUCUUCUUUUUUUUUUUUUUUUGCUGAGGAAGAUUCUCCACUUUUUUUUUUGCCCAUCUUUCUCCACUUUAUAUGUGGGUCGCCACCACAGCAUGGCUGACGAGUGGUGUAGGUCUGCAUCCAGGAGCCGAACCCACAAACCCAGACCACUGAAACAGAGCGUGCAGAACUUAACCACCAUGCCACCGGGCCGGCCCUUACAUUGCUUUUCUUUUUUAUAAUUACCUUCUACUGGGGCAUCUGAGGCUGGUCUCCAUGGACCAUCCCGUUAGAAAGCAUCUUCCUAAAAUAAAUUUAUUGAAGAAAAGUAGCAAAGUUGACAAUAAUGCCAAAGAUGGAGCUGAACUUUUUUCCUUCCAGAAAUGUAUCUUAAAAGGAAACGUUGUAACACUGGGGUAAAUGGAAAAACAGCAACAGUAUCGGGUGCCCCAAACUGAUACAAAGGAAAAUAAACAAUGUUACUAAAUUCGGGGCGCGCCUGUGGCCCGUGGAAGAGCCGGGAUUAGGUGACUCUUAAUAAGAGAUUAGUGAACAGGCGGUAAAGACACGGCAGCACCCAAUCCGAGUGUUUCUAAAUGGAACCAGAAGGUUGAAAAGAGGGUUGAAAAGGAAGUAAUUUGUCCCUUUCAUGGGGUUGUGUUUUUAUAUGCAAUUUGCAAGCACGCGUGGGGAGCUCACUCUGGGCAUGAAAUCCACUCGAUGGCCCCGUUCUCUCCGACCUUCUUUCUUCCAGAAAAACAACCCCACUGCCCUGGGCCCAGCUUCCGGGUCUAAGCGAGUCUGAUCAGAACCAGAGCUAGCUAUUGUAUUAUCUGCUUUUUUUUUUUUUUUUUUUCCUGAGGAAGAUUAGCCCUCAGCUAACAUCUGCUGCCAAUCGUCCUCUUUUUUUUUUGCUGAGGAAGACUGGCCCUGAGCUCAAAUCCAUGCCCACCUUCUUCCACCUUAUGUGUGGGACGCCCACCACAGCAUGGCUUGAUGAGCGGUGCCAUGUCCACACCUGGGAUCCGAACCUGCAAAUCCCGGGCCUCCGAAUCGGAACAUGCAAACUUAACCGCCGUGCCACCGGGCCGGCCUCUAUUACUUGCUUUUUUAUUAUUACCGUAUAAAGGCAAUUUUGAACAAUGUUAGGGACAAAAUCCUUUUCCCCUAAGAAAUCUUUCACUGGCCUAAACCAGGGGGUCAGCAAACUUUUCCCACAAGGGGACAGACGGUAAAUAUUUUCAGGUCCGCGGGCCAGAGCUGCAUGAAAGCUGCCACAGAUGGUUCGUCAAUGAAUUUGCGUGGCUGCGUGCCCGUAAAUCUCCUUUUAUGCACACUGCAAUUUGAAUCCUAUAUACGUUGCACGUGUCACGAAAUGUUCUUCUCUUUGUGAUUUUUUUCCCCAACCAGUUAAAAAAAAAAAAAAGCAAAAAAAAAAUCUUUCGCUUCUACCAAAAUGGGCCCGGGGCUGGGUUUGGCGGGCAAGCUGUCCUUUGUCAACUCUUCGUCUGGACGAUGGUCGCAGGUCCAGCGGACGUUUCAUCAUUGGAAGUUUUGAAUUAGCACCUUUUUUUAGGAGUGAUCCUUUCAUAAACAUCGACUCGUCCACGGAAGCGAGUUUGGAGAAGCUCAGGCCGUCUAUGCAGCCGGGAGGCACAGACUCCGCUCCCCACAUUCCUCCUGAGAGUUAGUUCUUAAUAAUUUUACACGUUUUCAGUUUUCUUUGGACACAAUUCAUUUUUUCCCAAUAGCAGGUUUGAAAUCCAGUCCCGCACCGCAGAACGACAUUCCGGUCAAGGACGGGCCGCGUAGACGGCGCUGGUGCCCUAAGUUGCAGCCCGAGCGCGGGGUCGGCGGCGCCGUCUCUGUUCGUGUCCGCGCGCUGCGGUGUUCGCGCAACGACGAAACCGCCUAACGACGCGUUUCUCACAACGUGUGCACGUCGUCAGGCAACACCCGACUGCAAACGAGGUCAACCCGAGGGGUUUGAAGCGCGAAGAAAUAGAUUUGGAGCCGCUUUGCUCCCUUUAUUUUAUCUGACCGCUUGGAGGUCCUAUUUUUGCUUAAAAUUUUAAACAGCGGGCUCAGCGGCAAAUUAUCCUAUUUUUAUUUGGUCAGCUCAAAUGUUAAUUCAAAGACGGAAUAUCUUGACUGAAUUUGAACCGCAUCUUCAAAGCGGAAAUGUCUUUCUCUCUCUCUCUCUUUUUUUUUUUUUGAGGAAGAUUAGCCCUGAGCGAACAUCUGCUGCCAAUCCUUUUUUUUUUCUUUUUUUUUGCUGAGGAAGACUGGCCCUGAGCUCACAUCCGUGCCCAUCUUCCUCUACUUUCUAUGUGGGACGCCCACCACAGCAUGGCUGCCAAGCAGUGCCAUGUCCACACCCGGGACCUGAACCAGCGAACUCCGGGCCGCCGAAGCGGAACGUGCGCACUUAACCACUGCGCCACCGGGCAGGCCCCUUAAAUAGUCAUUCUUAUUUGAUUAUUUACUUGUUAUGAAGCUGUAAUGCUGUUAUUUAUUACUGCGACAGACCAGUAUGUAAAGAUAAGGUUUUCUUUUCAAAAAAAUUUAUUAGUGGAGUUAAAAAGUAUUCAUUUGUGACUUUUCUUCCUCUUUUGGACUUUCACAUUUAUUUUAUGCAUGUUACUGGCGUGAUUAUAUGUGGCGUGCAAUGAAAGAAAAAAAUUCACUCUAUAUUUCUUUUCUGGGUAUUACCAUGAUUUGUUGUUUUUCAUAACUAUUAUUGAAACUUUUCGUCAUAUACAGGGGGAGUGUUACAACAAGACCUACUGUGGGUAGACAAGCCACUGCAUUUCCUCUCUUCAUACCUGGUACCUAGCAAGUGUCAAAUAAAUAUUUAUCCCCAUCAAUACCGCAGUGACAAGCUCCGCCCCCACAGGCGGUCUUUGCACAGACAGCUAAGAGCGGUCUUUGCAUUUUUAAACGGCUAAAAAAUAUAGAAAGAAUUACUUCGUGACACAGGAAAAUUACACAAAAUUCAAAUUUCAGCCUCCAAAAAUAAAACGGCGCUGGCGCACAGCCACGCCCAUUUGUGACUUGCUGUCUGUGGCUGUUUUGGAACCAGAAGGGUCCCCCCAGGCUCACAGACUCAGGCCCUCCUCCCCCUUCUACCUGCCCAGCAUUCCUGGUGGCCCCUCGGCGUCCCCCCUGAGGCUGGACCUGAGGCGGGGGGGGGGGGGGGGGGGGGGGGAGGGGGGGCGGACUGAGGCCGACUUUCCAGUCCCUGGUGCCCCCUUGUGGACCCCACGAGCAACUGCCACCUCCACCUCAACCUCCUCCUAGGAAGUAGGAAGUCAUCUGUGUGGCCCCUCCUUGCCCUGACUUUGCCCCCUGCCCCCUGCCAACGUCCCCAGGGCCUCCCCCUCCCGGGGCCACACUCCCACUGCGCCACCAUGGUUUACAUGCCUGAAGGGCUCUCCGCGAAUUAAAAAUCCCUCUGAGAGGCCGGCCCGGUGGCACAGUGGUUAAGUGCACACGUUUUGCUUUGGCGGCCCAGGGUUCCCUGGUUUGGAUCCCGGGUGCAGACAUGGCACCGCUUGGCAAGCCAUGCUGUGGUAGGCGUCCCACAUAUAAAGUAGAGGAAGAUGGGCACGGAUGUGAGCUCAGGGCCAAUCUUCCUCAAAAAAAAAAAAAAGAAAAGAAAAGAAAGAAAAGAAAUCCCUCUGAGCUGGCGUCAGAGAUGUCAACAAAUUUAAACAGCGUCGUCACUUUCCAAAGCCCCUCCUGCAUCUAUUACAACUCUUCAUCUGUGCUUUCUAUCUGCGUGCACACCUCGCGUCGGUGUAGCCCCCCUGCCCUACGUUCCCCUGAAGUAUUUCGACCUGCAGCGUUGCACAUGGCAUCUGCAGGAGCUGGCUGGUAUUUCACAGGAAAGAAACAGAAGGACAGAGGAGGAAAGUGACAGCUCUGCUCAGGCUAACAGAGACUGCGGGGGCCCGGAACAGAGACAACUCGGCGGUGCGCCGGAGCGGCCGGGUGGGCUCUUGCUGGCGAGAUCCAGGCACGCACAUCCCUGUCUGACUCCGGGUUCGAUGACAUCGAGCGGGUAGCUUGAAAUUGGCCACAUUGGGGGCAUUUACACCACAGGAAUUGGCAGAUGCGACAGAUUAGGGGUUUGCAUCCUCUGAAGAGCUGUCUACACGUCCAGCAGCCCACCCCCCAGACUCAGCCCACCUCAAGGCAUCUGAUUCUGCGGCCAGCGCCGGCGAAUGCUCUUCUCUCCACAUUGCAUCUCAGAAGGACGGUUCUCCUGGGAGGAGGCGUCCACGCCAGCUGCACCCAGGGGCACUGGAAGGAGAGCGAUGCUUGCACCUCUGUCCCCGAAAACAGGACGCAGCGAUCGUUUACAAGCUCGGCGCUCUCUCUCCAAGACGUCAGCCAGGAGCUGUUGGAUCCACGGUGAACACUCUCGGUUCCCGCAGCAAACGCAGCGAGGCAUCCCGCUCCGGCCGCCAUUUGGAGAAGUCUGGCCUUGUUUCUGCAGUUGAUGGCUGAAGGCUUGAAAAUGGCUUGUCUAUCCAACUGCCCUUCCGAUGGUUCCACGUGGGGGUCUCGAAAGCAUCUCAGACUCAACGUGGCCGACUGAGCUCCUGCUCUUCCCUCAAACCUGCUCCUCCUGCGGUUUCACUAAACGGAGGCUCCAUCCUUCCAGGUGCUCAGGUCAAAAUGUUGGCUUGUCCCUGAGUUUUCUCUUCCUCUCUCAGCCCCACAUCCCUCCAUUGGCAGUCUUGUCGACUCUGUCUCGCUCACUCCGUUCCAGCCACCCGGGCCUCCUCACGCUGUUCCUCUAAUAUGCCAGCCACAGUCCUGCCCCAGGGCCUUUGCACGAUCUGUUUUCACUGCCACAACUCUUCCCCGACACAUCCAAAGGCAGACGUGAGUAGUUGCGACAGACGCUGCCUGGCCCUCAAAGCAGAAAAUAUUUACAAUCUGGUCCUUUACAGAAAAAGUUCGCAGAGCCCUGCUCUAGUGCCAAAGGAGGAAAUCAUGUCACCAGAGGGGAAACUGAGGCCCAGAGGGUCAAAAUGAGUUUUCCAAGGCCCCGUGUUUCUGAGGGGCUCCUCAUUUGUCAAAUUGUCUAAACAGCAUCUCACGAGCUUCAGAGGAAACAGCAAUCACACUGACCAACGUCUCCAUAAGUUGAAGGCCACCUGGGUGUGCAGAGCUUGGAGAGAAGUCUGUGCACACCCAUCUGAUCUGGCCAAGCCCAGGAGAUUUUUAAUUGCCGCUGUAAAAAAAAAAAAAAAAAAGGCAUUGCUUUUUCUAGAAACCUUGAGUUUGGGACUUUGAUCGGAGCAUUACGACAUGGCAGCGAAACCCCAUUUUGACUUCCUCUCUUCUGGAGGCGUUUUCCCGGCACAGUCGGAGGGGGGUGGCAAAACGCACCCCGCAUCCUCAGAGACAGAAAGCAGAGCCCUGGUUUCCAGGGGCCGAGGAAGGAGGGGAAUUGGGACCGAGUGCUAAUGGGCGUGGGGUUGCUUUUGGGAAUGAUGGAAAAUGUUCUGGAAUGAGAUGGUGGUGAUGGUUGCACAGCACCGUGAAUACGCUAGAACCCACUGAACUGUGCGCUUUAAAAGGAUACAUUCUACAUUCCGUACAGUACGUCUCGAUAAAAAAAAAAAAAUUUAAAAAGACGACGCCCUUCUGUUUGUUAUUAAAUAACAGUGCUGUGAAAUAAACUAAUAAUGGGAAAGCGAAAAAAUAAAUCUCGCCUAUGACCCUCCCCUCCACUAGUCAAAUUCCCUUUGUUUUCCCGCAUCCCUUCCCAGUUCUUGUUCAUCCGGAUGGAUCCCUUUUUGCGCAGCUAUAACCAUCCAUGGGUCAGGAUGCAGCACAAAAUUAUUUUUAAAAACUAAAUGUUUGUAACUCUGCAGCGAUGGAUCUUAUCUAGACUUACUGUGGUCAUUUUGCAAUCUAUGCAUAAGUUGGAUCAUUAUGUUGUACCCUUGAAACUAAUAUAAUGUUGUAUGUCAAUUAUAUCUUAAUAAAAAAAUAAAAGCAAUUAAGAAAAAAAAGAAAGCCUGGGCAUGGCGCCCCCGAUGGAGCUCUGUGCGUUUGCGCAUCUCCUCUCGGAGCCCUUCCUCUCUCUGACUAGCAAAGGACUGGGACCAAUGUUGACACAGAGAGCAUCACAAGACAUUUUUGUUGAAUGCAAUAAUUAGUAAAUAUCCACAUCCUCUAGGACCCAUCUUUCUGCCUGGCAGAGAGCAGAUACUCAAUAAAUGUCAGCUGAAUGAAUGCAUGCCCCCUGGACCACGGAAUAUCUCGACUCUCCAAUGUAUAAAGGUAGUGGUGUGCUGGUCAAGGUUUAACAACCGGUUCUCUGGGAGGGGAAUUUCUAUAUGUCCAUAUCGCUCAUAUAUCAGGUAUAUUGCACAUAUGUAAUAUACAUCAUUAUACAAUGCGUAUCUAUAUUUAUUGUAACUGUUACCGACGUAAAGGAUGUGUAGCAUGCAAUUCACAAAUAAUAAUAAAAUAUGCAAUACUCCAUUCUAAGUUCCAUACAGCCACUUGAUUCUCAAAGGAUACUUUUGUUGAUUUUUGCCGAACCCUUGUGUCCGUAGCCAACUUACGGUUGCAAAUAACGGCACGAGGGUAGUUCUGACUUGAAUGCCGGCAAUAUUUUCACUUACGUUAAUAAGUAACAUGAAAGUGAAGAGACGUAUGAGCGAAUUUCACUUGUUCACCAAGAAGGAGAAUGCCAUCUUCGAUAAAUCAGAUAACAGCUUGUGAAUACUGG